GAUGAAGAACGUAGCGAAAUGCGAUAACUAGUGUGAAUUGCAGAAUUCCGUGAAUCAUCGAGUCUUUGAACGCACAUUGCGCCCCCUGGUAUUCCGGGGGGCAUGCCUGUCCGAGCGUCAUUGCUGCCCAUCAAGCACGGCUUGUGUGUUGGGUCGUCGUCCCCUCUCCGGGGGGGACGGGCCCCAAAGGCAGCGGCGGCACCGCGUCCGAUCCUCGAGCGUAUGGGGCUUUGUCACCCGCUCUGUAGGCCCGGCCGGCGCUUGCCGAACGCAAAUCAAUCUUUUUCCAGGUUAACCUCGGAUCAGGUAGGGAUACCCGCUGAACUUAAGCAUAUCAAUAAGCGGAGGA
rnacentral:misc_RNA from 1 species